ACCUGGCUGCAGAAAAUGGUCAAACGGAAUGUUUACAGUGGCUUCUGGAGAACACAAAAGCCGACCCCCAUCUGGUUGCCAAGGACGGAAGUAACCCAUUGCAUGCAGCAGCCGCUGAAGGACAUUUACAAUGUGUACAUUGGUUAGUACGAAGGCAUUGUUUUUCCCUCGCUGUGCCUCGAAGUACCGAUAGUGCCACACCAUUACAUCUUGCUGCAGCUAAAGGAAGAACAAACGUUACAGUGGGCGUUACAGCAGAGGUUAUGUAGCGGGAGUGAAAUAGACAGAAAUGGUCGAACACUGUGCAUUAUGCUGCCCUCAACGACCAAGUGAACGCUUUGAAAGUGUUUCUCCGCUUCCAACCGAUUGAUGUAAAUGCCGAGGAUAACGACAGUCGAACACCCAGG